GACGAACGCUGGCGGCGUGCUUAACACAUGCAAGUCGAACGGAAAGGCCCUGCUUUUGUGGGGUGCUCGAGUGGCGAACGGGUGAGUAACACGUGAGUAACCUGCCCUUGACUUUGGGAUAACUUCGGGAAACUGGGGCUAAUACCGGAUAGGAGCUCCUGCUGCAUGGUGGGGGUUGGAAAGUUUCGGCGGUUGGGGAUGGACUCGCGGCUUAUCAGCUUGUUGGUGGGGUAGUGGCUUACCAAGGCUUUGACGGGUAGCCGGCCUGAGAGGGCGACCGGCCACAUUGGGACUGAGAUACGGCCCAGACUCCUACGGGAGGCAGCAGUGGGGAAUAUUGCACAAUGGGCGGAAGCCUGAUGCAGCAACGCCGCGUGCGGGAUGACGGCCUUCGGGUUGUAAACCGCUUUCGCCUGUGACGAAGCGUGAGUGAUGGUAAUGGGUAAAGAAGCACCGGCUAACUACGUGCCAGCAGCCGCGGUGAUACGUAGGGUGCGAGCGUUGUCCGGAUUUAUUGGGCGUAAAGGGCUCGUAGGUGGUUGAUCGCGUCGGAAGUGUAAUCUUGGGGCUUAACCCUGAGCGUGCUUUCGAUACGGGUUGACUUGAGGAAGGUAGGGGAGAAUGGAAUUCCUGGUGGAGCGGUGGAAUGCGCAGAUAUCAGGAGGAACACCAGUGGCGAAGGCGGUUCUCUGGGCCUUUCCUGACGCUGAGGAGCGAAAGCGUGGGGAGCGAACAGGCUUAGAUACCCUGGUAGUCCACGCUGUAAACGGUGGGUACUAGGUGUGGGGUCCAUUCCACGGGUUCCGUGCCGUAGCUAACGCUUUAAGUACCCCGCCUGGGGAGUACGGCCGCAAGGCUAAAACUCAAAGGAAUUGACGGGGCCCCGCACAAGCGGCGGAGCAUGCGGAUUAAUUCGAUGCAACGCGUAGAACCUUACCUGGGUUUGACAUGGAUCGGGAGCGCUCAGAGAUGGGUGUGCCUCUUUUGGGGUCGGUUCACAGGUGGUGCAUGGCUGUCGUCAGCUCGUGUCGUGAGAUGUUGGGUUAAGUCCCGCAACGAGCGCAACCCUUGUUCACUGUUGCCAGCACGUUAUGGUGGGGACUCAGUGGAGACCGCCGGGGUCAACUCGGAGGAAGGUGGGGAUGACGUCAAGUCAUCAUGCCCCUUAUGUCCAGGGCUUCACGCAUGCUACAAUGGCUGGUACAGAGAGUGGCGAGCCUGUGAGGGUGAGCGAAUCUCGGAAAGCCGGUCUCAGUUCGGAUUGGGGUCUGCAACUCGACCUCAUGGAGUCGGAGUCGCUAGUAAUCGCAGAUCAGCAACGCUGCGGUGAAUACGUUCCCGGG
rnacentral:rRNA from 1 species